rnacentral:rRNA from 1 species
AGGGCGCACGGUGGAUGCCUUGGCACUAGAAGCCGAUGAAGGACGUUACUAACGACGAUAUGCUUUGGGGAAGCUGUAAGUAAGCUUUGAUCCAGAGAUUUCCGAAUGGGGAAACCCAGCAUGAGUUAUGUCAUGUUAUCGAUAUGUGAAUACAUAGCAUAUCAGAAGGCACACCCGGAGAACUGAAACAUCUUAGUACCCGGAGGAAGAGAAAGAAAAUUCGAUUCCCUUAGUAGCGGCGAGCGAAACGGGAAGAGCCCAAACCAACAAGCUUGCUUGUUGGGGUUGUAGGACACUCUAUACGGAGUUACAAAGGACGACAUUAGACGAAUCAUCUGGAAAGAUGAAUCAAAGAAGGUAAUAAUCCUGUAGUCGAAAAUGUUGUCUCUCUUGAGUGGAUCCUGAGUACGACGGAGCACGUGAAAUUCCGUCGGAAUCUGGGAGGACCAUCUCCUAAGGCUAAAUACUCUCUAGUGACCGAUAGUGAACCAGUACCGUGAGGGAAAGGUGAAAAGCACCCCGGAAGGGGAGUGAAAUAGAACCUGAAACCGUGUGCUUACAAGUAGUCAGAGCCCGUUAAUGGGUGAUGGCGUGCCUUUUGUAGAAUGAACCGGCGAGUUACGAUUUGAUGCAAGGUUAAGCAGUAAAUGUGGAGCCGUAGCGAAAGCGAGUCUGAAUAGGGCGUUUAGUAUUUGGUCGUAGACCCGAAACCAGGUGAUCUACCCUUGGUCAGGUUGAAGUUCAGGUAACACUGAAUGGAGGACCGAACCGACUUACGUUGAAAAGUGAGCGGAUGAACUGAGGGUAGCGGAGAAAUUCCAAUCGAACCUGGAGAUAGCUGGUUCUCUCCGAAAUAGCUUUAGGGCUAGCCUCAAGUGAUGAUUAUUGGAGGUAGAGCACUGUUUGGACGAGGGGCCCCUCUCGGGUUACCGAAUUCAGACAAACUCCGAAUGCCAAUUAAUUUAACUUGGGAGUCAGAACAUGGGUGAUAAGGUCCGUGUUCGAAAGGGAAACAGCCCAGACCACCAGCUAAGGUCCCAAAAUAUAUGUUAAGUGGAAAAGGAUGUGGCGUUGCCCAGACAACUAGGAUGUUGGCUUAGAAGCAGCCAUCAUUUAAAGAGUGCGUAAUAGCUCACUAGUCGAGUGACACUGCGCCGAAAAUGUACCGGGGCUAAACAUAUUACCGAAGCUGUGGAUUGUCCUUUGGACAAUGGUAGGAGAGCGUUCUAAGGGCGUUGAAGCAUGAUCGUAAGGACAUGUGGAGCGCUUAGAAGUGAGAAUGCCGGUGUGAGUAGCGAAAGACGGGUGAGAAUCCCGUCCACCGAUUGACUAAGGUUUCCAGAGGAAGGCUCGUCCGCUCUGGGUUAGUCGGGUCCUAAGCUGAGGCCGACAGGCGUAGGCGAUGGAUAACAGGUUGAUAUUCCUGUACCACCUAUAAUCGUUUUAAUCGAUGGGGGGACGCAGUAGGAUAGGCGAAGCGUGCGAUUGGAUUGCACGUCUAAGCAGUAAGGCUGAGUAUUAGGCAAAUCCGGUACUCGUUAAGGCUGAGCUGUGAUGGGGAGAAGACAUUGUGUCUUCGAGUCGUUGAUUUCACACUGCCGAGAAAAGCCUCUAGAUAGAAAAUAGGUGCCCGUACCGCAAACCGACACAGGUAGUCAAGAUGAGAAUUCUAAGGUGAGCGAGCGAACUCUCGUUAAGGAACUCGGCAAAAUGACCCCGUAACUUCGGGAGAAGGGGUGCUCUUUAGGGUUAACGCCCAGAAGAGCCGCAGUGAAUAGGCCCAAGCGACUGUUUAUCAAAAACACAGGUCUCUGCUAAACCGUAAGGUGAUGUAUAGGGGCUGACGCCUGCCCGGUGCUGGAAGGUUAAGAGGAGUGGUUAGCUUCUGCGAAGCUACGAAUCGAAGCCCCAGUAAACGGCGGCCGUAACUAUAACGGUCCUAAGGUAGCGAAAUUCCUUGUCGGGUAAGUUCCGACCCGCACGAAAGGCGUAACGAUUUGGGCACUGUCUCAACGAGAGACUCGGUGAAAUCAUAGUACCUGUGAAGAUGCAGGUUACCCGCGACAGGACGGAAAGACCCCGUGGAGCUUUACUGUAGCCUGAUAUUGAAAUUCGGCACAGCUUGUACAGGAUAGGUAGGAGCCUUUGAAACGUGAGCGCUAGCUUACGUGGAGGCGCUGGUGGGAUACUACCCUAGCUGUGUUGGCUUUCUAACCCGCACCACUUAUCGUGGUGGGAGACAGUGUCAGGCGGGCAGUUUGACUGGGGCGGUCGCCUCCUAAAAGGUAACGGAGGCGCUCAAAGGUUCCCUCAGAAUGGUUGGAAAUCAUUCAUAGAGUGUAAAGGCAUAAGGGAGCUUGACUGCGAGACCUACAAGUCGAGCAGGGUCGAAAGACGGACUUAGUGAUCCGGUGGUUCCGCAUGGAAGGGCCAUCGCUCAACGGAUAAAAGCUACCCCGGGGAUAACAGGCUUAUCUCCCCCAAGAGUUCACAUCGACGGGGAGGUUUGGCACCUCGAUGUCGGCUCAUCGCAUCCUGGGGCUGUAGUCGGUCCCAAGGGUUGGGCUGUUCGCCCAUUAAAGCGGUACGCGAGCUGGGUUCAGAACGUCGUGAGACAGUUCGGUCCCUAUCCGUCGUGGGCGUAGGAAAUUUGAGAGGAGCUGUCCUUAGUACGAGAGGACCGGGAUGGACAUACCUCUGGUGUACCAGUUGUCGUGCCAACGGCAUAGCUGGGUAGCUAUGUGUGGACGGGAUAAGUGCUGAAAGCAUCUAAGCAUGAAGCCCCCCUCAAGAUGAGAUUUC